rnacentral:ncRNA from 3 species
GUGCAAGUAGAACCAAUUUGAACUGUGAAACUGCGAAUGGAUCAUUAAAUCAGUUAUAGUUUGUUUCAUGGUACGUGCUACUCGGAUAACCGUAGUAAUUCUAGAGCUAAUAUGUGCAACAAGCCCCGACUUCUGGGAGGGGCGCAUUUAUUAGAUAAAAGGCUGACGCGGGCUCUGCUCGCUGAUAUGAUGAUUCAUGAUAACUCGACGGAUGGCUAUAUUAUUCAAUUUAGUAAGAUACGUCACAAUUUUCAGUUUCAUAACCAUAAAAGGGACUACAUUCAACGAAAGUGAUUAGCUCAGGAU